CGCCUCUUGCCAAACAACACGUAUAAGAGGUCCAGCCUGCCCAGUGACUAUAUGUUCAACGGCCGCGGUAUUCUGACCGUGCAAAGGUAGCGUAAUCACUUGUCUUUUAAAUAAAGACUGGUAUGAAUGGCACCACGAAGGUUCAACUGUCUCCUGCAUCCAAUCCAUUAAACUGACCUCCCCGUGCAGAGGCGGGGAUAUGUCCAUAAGACGAGAAGACCCUAUGGAGCUUUAAACUCACGGCAACUGCUAAACAACCUAACCCCCACACGGGAAAACAAACAAUUAAGCAACAAUGACCCAAAGUUUUCGGUUGGGGCGACCACGGAGAAAAAAAAAUCCUCCUUGAUGUACGAGGCCUUACCCUCUUAACCAAGAACGACAGUUCUAAGUAACAAAACAUUUGACCACUAUUGAUCCAGUCCAACUGAUCAACGAACCAAGUUACCCUAGGGAUAACAGCGCAAUCCAUUUCGAAAGUUCCUAUCGACAAAUGGGUUUACGAC
rnacentral:rRNA from 1 species